rnacentral:rRNA from 1 species
CAGUAGCCGCGGUAAUCCGAAGGGGGCUAGCGUUGUUCGGAUUUACUGGGCGUAAAGGGCGCGUAGGCGGACUGAUAAGUCAGGGGUGAAAUCCCAAGGCUCAACCUUGGAACUGCCUUUGAUACUGUUUGUCUUGAGUUCGAGAGAGGUAAGUGGAACUGCGAGUGUAGGGGUGAAAUUCGUAGAUAUUCGGAAGAACACCAGUGGCGAAGGCGACACACUGGCUCAUUACUGACGCUGAGGCGCGAAAGCGUGGGGAGCAAACAGGAUUAGAUACCCCUGUAGUCCCUGUCUCUUAUAC